rnacentral:rRNA from 1 species
GACGAACGCUGGCGGCGUGCCUAAUACAUGCAAGUCGAACGAGAGCGACCGGUGCUUGCACUGGUCAACCUAGUGGCGAACGGGAGAGUAACACGUGGGUAACCUGCCCAUCAGAGGGGGAUAACAUCCGGAAACGGAUGCUAAAACCGCAUAGGUCUUCGAGCCGCAUGGUUUGAAGAGGAAAAGAGGCGCAAGCUUAUGCUGAUGGAUGGACCCGCGGUGCAUUAGCUGGUUGGUGAGGUAACGGCUCACCAAGGCCGUGAUCCAUAGCCAUCCAUAGAGGUAGAUCGGCCACAUUGGGACUGAGACACGGCUCAAACGCCUACGGGAGGCAGCAAUAGGGAAUCGUACGCAAUGGACGCAAGUCUGACUGAGCAACGCCGCGUGAGUGUAGUAGGUUUACGGAUCGUAAAACUCUGUUGUUAGAGAAGAACAAGUGCUAGAGUAACAGUUAGCGCCUUGACUGUAUCUAACCAGAAAGCCACGGCUAACUACGUGCCAGCAGCCGCGGUAACAC